GAUGAAGAACGUAGCGAAAUGCGAUAAGUAAUGUGAAUUGCAGAAUUCAGUGAAUCAUCGAAUCUUUGAACGCACAUUGCGCCCCCUGGUAUUCCGGGGGGCAUGCCUGUUCGAGCGUCAUUACAACCCUCAAGCUCUGCUUGGUAUUGGGCCCCGCCAGUUCUGGCGGGCCCUAAAGUCAGUGGCGGUGCCUUCCGGCUCCGAGCGUAGUAAUUCUUCUCGCUCUGGAGACCCGGUUGUGUGCUUGCCAACAACCCCCAAUUUUUUAAGGUUGACCUCGGAUCAGGUAGGGAUACCCGCUGAACUUAAGCAUAUCAAUAAUCGGAGGA
rnacentral:misc_RNA from 1 species